rnacentral:lncRNA from 10 species
AGCAUAUUCGAGUAACUUUGCUUCAUGAUCAAACAUUGCAAAGAAUGCUACUCACUGGAUUUGGAAAAGUAGUUUUUGGAUCUACUUCUUGUACUCUUCGUAGGUUUGAGAAUUGAAAUCUCAGGAAGUAACUUCCAAGACGAUGCCCUCUACCACAUCACAUUUCCAGAUUACAGUGAUCAUCUACCUGUUGCAGAGACACGAAAUUAUAUCUGGUAGAACACAAACGGAAAAGCCUUUGCAAGACAUGUUAGUUAAAUUCUCAUUUGAAGAAAAAAGCUUAUAUUUCUCGGCAUACAUACUACUGAGCUGGUGUUAAGUGAACAAAAUUGAGAUCUCAUGUCCUGGCAAUAAACCAACUCUUGUUAGCUAAGGAUGUGCUGCUUAGUCUUUGCAUUUCAAUGUCUGUUAAAAAGUGACCAUGUGGGCCGGGCGUGGUGCUCACGCCUGUAAUCCCAGCACUUUGGGAGGCCAAGGCGGGCAGAUCACGAGGUCAGGAGAUGGAGACCAUCCUGGCUAACACGGCGAAACUCCGUCUCUACUAAAAAUACAAAAAUCAUCCUGGCGUGGUGGUGGGCGCCUGUAGUCCCAGCUACUCGGGAGGCUGAGGCAGGAGAAUGGCGUGAACCCGAGAGGUGGAGCUUGCAGUGAGCUGAGACUGCGCCACUGCACUCCAGCCUGGGCAACAGAGCGAGACUCUGUCUCAAAAAAUAUAUAAAAAUAAAAAAGUGACCACGUGGCCAGUCAUGGUGGCUUGUGCUUGUAAUUCAAUGGCUCGUGCUUGUAAUCCAAGCACCACUAGACAGAUAGGUUGCUUUAGCUCAGGACUUAGAGGCCAGCCUGGGCAACUGUGAAACUCUGUCUCUACAAAAAUUAUACAAAAGCCAAGAAUGAGAGAAAAGACUUAAUAUUUAAUAGUGAUUAUUAGAUGUAAAAUUAUUUUACCUCAUUUAAUAUAUAUUAAAUCACUUGCAAACAUAGUAAACAUAUAUUUAAAUGGUUUAUUUAAUGUUCGACUUCAUCAAACCUAAAUAUUUUUAUUAUUUUUGAGUUUAGAUGUAAAUAAGUAUUUUGGCAAUCAUUGAGACCAUGAAGUGCAAUGCAGCAGGCAAUGGGUAAAUUAGUUCAAAUCUACUUAUGGAUUUAUUUCCAAACCUUUGAUCUGCUCUCCUGCGGAAAUUUUUUUCUAUUCAAAAGACUCUAGAUUGAAUCCAUGAAUAAGAAUUCUUAUCUUUUAAAACUUCACAUAAUUUUAUUUAGAAAAGUUAUAUAUGUAUAUAUGUGUAUAUAUAUAUGUGUGUAUGUAUGUAUGUAAAUGCUGAAUAUUUACAGAUUGUUGGGUCCAAUUUGUUAGCAGUCCAUCUAAAACUAUCAUUCUAUUCUUUGGGAUUAGAAUUUGAAAAUCAUUUCUUCAGCAGUGAUUUACACUUGUUAUUUACUUCCCUUCGGAUGCCAGAGUGAAAAAUAAAACACACAGACAAAAAUACAGGCACACCUAUUUUGGGCACCAAGCUAUGUGAGAGUAGAUUAAUGGUUAGAAAUUUACAAGAAAAAAGGAAAACCCAAAAACCAAAAGACAGCAACAAACAAUACUCCUGUUCAGUGCAAAGGCCAAAACAGGUGUUUGUCCACAUUUUGUAAUUGAAAAUAGCAUUCUAUUGUCUAGUGUUGCCAGUGAUCCAUAUUUAUAGUUACUUUUUUUAGGUGUCUAGUCUAAUUUGAAUGUUGAAAAUAUAUAUUCUUUUAAUUUCAAUAUAAGUUAAAUUUACAGAAAAGUUGCAAAAGUAGCACAGAGUUUCUAUAUACCCUUCUUCAGUUUUACUUAUUGCUCAUUGUUAAAAACUUACAUUAUUAUAUGCCUUUGUUAAAAUAAUUAAACUGAUAUCCUACAUUACUGUUAAAUAAAAUUCAGACAUUAUGUGGAUUUCAUUAGUUUUUCCAUCGAGGUCUUCUUUCUAUUCCAGCAUUCUAUCCAGGCAACCAUACUAUAUUUUGCUACCAUUUUUUUUUUUUCUAGUCUUAACUGGUCUAUAACGGUUUCUCAUUCUUUUCUUUUUUUUUUAUCAUAACCUUGGUAGGCUGGUAGUCAUGGAAAGUACUGGUCAGGUAUUCUGUGGAAUGAUUGCUCAUCUCGUGACUAGAUUGCACUUAUACAAAAUAAGUGAAGUGAUCUUCUUGUCACAUCAUAUCAGGAGACACAUGAUGUUAUUGGUGACAUUAACUGUUAUCAUUCAGUGACGGUAGUGUUUUCCACUUUUGUCUUCUGUAAAUUUACUUUGUUUUCUUUCCCUAUUCUAUUUUUGGAAAGAAAAUCACUAAAACUAACUCAUUGUCAAGGGCAUGGGGGACAAGAUUUAAGCUCCAUCUCCCCAUGUCAUUUGGAAUUCUUCUGGAAAAAAGGGAUACCUCAUCUCAUUUUCUUGUGCAUUCAGACUGUGAUUUACAUCAUUGAUUUUCCUGGUUGAGGUCUUUGGACUAGGACUGAAUUACACCAGUGGCUUUUCUGAAUCUCCAGCUUGCAGAUUGCAGAUCAUGAGAAUUCUCAGCCUCCAUAAUUGCGUGAGCCAAUUCUCAUGAUCAGUCUCUUCUUAUGUGGAUAUCCUAUUGGUUUUGUUCCUCUUGAGAAACCUGACUAAUACAUAUAUAUUAUGUUAGACAUGUUAUUUGAUUGUGUCUAACUCUAAUUCAGUACUAGGUGAUUCAUUCUAGCCUUCCUUUAUUAUAACAGCCUUCUCUGACAAUAAGAAACCUGAAUCUUAUCCUCUGACUUUUAAGUUGUUAAUUUGCUUUUACACACACAUAUAUGUAAAGCAGGUUCAGAAUAGUUAACCUGCACUACUGUGAGGAAAAAAUAUUACCAACUGGAGUACAGUGUCAACAUACAAUUUUUUUGGUCUGUAAAUAUUGGACAAAAUAUAAGUGAAAAUUAUGUUUUGUUUAUCCUGCUCUACACUUGAAGCAAGUGUGCUUACUUUUAAUGUGAGGCUUUAGUUUAUUCUUUGGUGCUGCAAAUUUUUUAUUGCUAACUCAUCUAAUAUUGCUUCCCUAGUAUGCUCACAUUUUCCUUUCACUCAAACUCUCAUUAGAUGUAGGCAAUAAACUCACAAUAUAUUCUCCAUUAGUCUUUGAUUUCAUUUUUAAUACUAUUUAUCUGUGUAGGAGGUUCUUGGAUAAUUAUUCAACAUAUGUUUAAUCUCACUCAUUUUAUUUUUUUCUGCAGGUUUAUCCAAUAUCGAAAACUUUUCAUGUUCAAAAUUUAUGAUGGAUAUUUUUCCAUAAAGAUAUUUUAUUUGAGUGAAAUUGUUCAAUGCCACUACUCUUUAUAUUUGUUUCAUUCCUAUUAUAAUUUCUGUAACUUUGCUUUUCUUUACAUUUUACAACUGAUUUAUAGUAAUAUUGUUUUGCUUUGUUUUUCAUCUUAUCAUACUCUGGCUUUCGGUAAAUUUUCAGCUGCUAGCAACUUUUUACCAGAGCUCUUAUAAUAUUAUGGUUUUAAUUUUGUUUUCAUUUUAAAGAAUCUAUUGAAAAAAGAGAGAUAUCAGUAAACUAUAUUUAUCUAAUACAUUUAACAUUUUAUACUUCUGAACAUACGUAUUCAUAACAGAUAUCACAGACACAAAUACCUACAAAAUCAGCCAACUUAACAAAAUCAGUGAAAGAUGCUUAUUGUGGACUAUGGCAUCUAAAAACAGGUCUUUCCAUAUCAUUUCCAGGGUCUAGGUCAAGAUUACAAGUUGAAUUCCACAAAACAUAUGUUUGUUUGAUUAUUUACAAUUGUAAAAUAAAUUAAAAAUGAAAAUAAUUUAAGGCUUUAAAAUUUAAGAAAUACAUUGUAUUUUUUCUACUUUGCAAAUAAACCUUUAUAAAAACUCAGAAAGUCUUAGAUGUAUUAAGCUUUUGGGGUUUCAGAUUUUACCUGAUCGUGUAAUCGAUGAGGCUAAGUAUUGGAAACUAGCAUUCAACCUGCUUCUUAAGCUCUUUUCUCUUUCAACAAUGAUUAUUUUUUU